GAUUUCUGGGCUCAAGAAUUUGGCCGGCCACGGUUUCGUGUGUUAGUGCUUUGUUCUGUGUCCAUCCUUCCAAUCGCUAUUGGCUAUUCUUCAUUGAAUGGUCAGUAGUAUUGGAUCUUUUACUUUGAAAAAAUUAGAGUGUUUCAAGCAGGCUUUAUGCUAUGAAUACAUUAGCAUGGAAUAAUAAUUUAGGACUUCGGUUCUAUUUUGUUGGUUUCUAGGACUGAAGUAAUGAUUGAUAGGGAUAGUUGGGGGUGCUAGUAUUCAGCGGCCAGAGGUGAAAUUCUCGGAUUCGCUGAAGACUAACUUAUGCGAAAGCAUU
rnacentral:rRNA from 1 species